rnacentral:rRNA from 1 species
UCGGGAAUUUUGGACAAUGGGCGCAAGCCUGAUCCAGCCAUGCCGCGUGAGUGAAGAAGGCCUUCGGGUUGUAAAGCUCUUUCGGCGGGGACGAAACGGUUCAUGCCAACGCCAUGGACUAAUGACGGUACUCGCAGAAGAAGCACCGGCUAACUACGUGCCAGCAGCCGCGGUAAUACGUAGGGUGCAGGCGUUAAUCGGAAUUACUGGGCGUAAAGCGUGCGCAGGCGGCUCCUUAAGUCAGAUGUGAAAUCCCCGGGCUUAACCUGGGAACUGCGUUUGAAACUGAGGGGCUUGAGUGUGGAAGAGGGGGGUGGAAUUCCAGGUGUAGCAGUGAAAUGCGUAGAUAUUGGGAAGAACACCAGUGGCGAAGGCGGCUAACUGGUCCGGUACUGACGCUGAGGUGCGAAAGCGUGGGGAGCAAACAGGAUUAGAUACCCAAGUAGUCCCUGAGCGGGCUGGCAAGGCGCAU